rnacentral:rRNA from 1 species
AUGAGAAGUGUCUCACGGGAUGGGAUGAAAGAGAUGGUAUAUGAGUUUUAUGAGAAUCUAUUCUUCGCCGAGGACUGCAUCUCUAUGGAGAGGGUGUUCGAUGCUAUCCCUAGAAAGGUUGAUGAUAACAUGAAUGCUGAGUUGUGCAAACUUUAUAGUAAUGAGGAGAUGAGAGUGGCUCUCUUUCAGAUCGGUCCUGCAAAGGCUCCUGGAUCGGAUGGACUGCCAGCUAUGUUCUAUCAAACUCACUGGGAUCUGCUCCAGCAUGACAUUUGUGAUGCUAUUCACUCUUUCUUGAGUGGCGAGGCUCUACCUGAAGGACUAUGCGACUCUAUCGUUGUGUUAAUUCCUCAGGUUGAAGGUUUUUUUACUGUCAUUGUCUCGGAGUUUCAAAGUGCUUUCAUGCCCGACCGCUUGAUCACGGACAGUGUUCUAGUGGCGUAUGAAUGUUUGCACACGGUUCAAAAGCAACAUUCCAAGAAGCCUUUCUUUGCGCAAAGUGGACAUGAUGAAGGCCUAUGA